UAAUAAGUGUUUUAUGGCACUUUUAAAUCCAUAUCCACCUUGUGUGCAAUGUCGGUCGAUCUUCUUUUUUGAGGAUCGACCAAACAUCAACCUUUAUUUUUAACUCUUUGUCUGAAAAAUAUAGAAUAAACAAUUCAAAAUA
rnacentral:misc_RNA from 1 species